rnacentral:misc_RNA from 1 species
GAACGCACAUUGCGCCCGCCAGCAUCCUGGCGGGCAUGCCUGUCCGAGCGUCAUUUCAACCCUCAGGGCCCGUCCGCGGGACCUGGCGUUGGGGAUCGGCCGCGCCCAUGGAGGCCGGCCGGCCCUGAAAUACAGUGGCGGUCACGUCGCGACCUCCCCCGCGUAGUAGAACUCACCUCGCGGCGGGAAGGCGGCGCGGCCACGCCGUGAAACCCCCUACUUCUCAAGGUUGACCUCGGAUCAGGUAGGAAUACCCGCUGAACUUAAG